rnacentral:rRNA from 1 species
AGCCGCGGUAAUACGGAGGAUGCGAGCGUUAUCCGGAUUUAUUGGGUUUAAAGGGUGCGUAGGUGGUGAUUUAAGUCAGCGGUGAAAGUUUGUGGCUCAACCAUAAAAUUGCCGUUGAAACUGGGUUACUUGAGUGUGUUUGAGGUAGGCGGAAUGCGUGGUGUAGCGGUGAAAUGCAUAGAUAUCACGCAGAACUCCGAUUGCGAAGGCAGCUUACUAAACCAUAACUGACACUGAAGCACGAAAGCGUGGGGAUCAAACAGGAUUAGAUACCCUGGUAGUCCACGCAGUAAACGAUGAUUACUAGGAGUUUGCGAUACAAUGUAAGCUCUACAGCGAAAGCGUUAAGUAAUCCACCUGGGGAGUACGCCGGCAACGGUGAAACUCAAAGGAAUUGACGGGGGCCCGCACAAGCGGAGGAACAUGUGGUUUAAUUCGAUGAUACGCGAGGAACCUUACCCGGGCUCAAACGUCGGGCGAACCAUCCUGAAAGGGAUGGGCCAGCAAUGGCGGCCGACGAGGUGCUGCAUGGUUGUCGUCAGCUCGUGCCGUGAGGUGUCGGCUUAAGUGCCAUAACGAGCGCAACCCUUAUCACUAGUUACUAACAGGUGAAGCUGAGGACUCUGGUGAGACUGCCAGCGUAAGCUGUGAGGAAGGUGGGGAUGACGUCAAAUCAGCACGGCCCUUACAUCCGGGGCGACACACGUGUUACAAUGGCAUGGACAAAGGGCAGCUACCUGGUGACAGGAUGCUAAUCUCCAAACCAUGUCUCAGUUCGGAUCGGAGUCUGCAACUCGACUCCGUGAAGCUGGAUUCGCUAGUAAUCGCGCAUCAGCCAUGGCGCGGUGAAUACGUUCCCGGGCCUUGUACACACCGCCCGUCAAGCCAUGGGAGCCGGGAGUGCCUGAAGGCCGUAACCGCAAGGAGCGGUCAAGGGUAAGACUGGUGACUGGGGCUAAGUCGUAACAAGGUAGCCGUACCGGAAGGUGCGGCUG